GUGGGGGACCGGCAACACCCCUGAUAACCAGGGCAUUCGGAGUCAGCCAGAGUGAGCCAGUCUCCAACCUGGCGACUCAUAAUCCGUCGGCCGUGGGUUCGAGUCCCACCCGCCCCA
rnacentral:tRNA from 1 species